rfam:Aedes albopictus isolate Foshan contig71562, whole genome shotgun sequence.
AAACCGGUCCUUUUCAGGACCAUCGAAAAUGAUUCCUUAGUUUCAA